rnacentral:rRNA from 1 species
AAACUCUACAAUGCAGGCAACUGCGAUAGGGGGACAUCGAGUGAUACCCACCUUGGGUAUCUGUCCCACCGUCUAAAAAACGGUGGUUAGCAAGGGCCGGGUAAGACCGGUGCCAGCCGCCGCGGUAAUACCGGCGGCUCGAGUGGUGGCCGAUAUUAUUGAGUCUAAAGGGUCCGUAGCCGGCUCCGCAAGUCCCCCGGGAAAUCCAGCGGCCCAACCGUUGGGCGCCCGUGGGAUACUACGUUGCUUGGGACUGGGAGAGGUGGGAGGUACUCGGGGGGUAGGGGUGAAAUCCUGUAAUCCUCCGGGGACCACCGGUGGCGAAGGCGUCCCACCAGAACAGGUCCGACGGUGAGGGACGAAAGCUAGGGGCACGAACCGG